AACUGAAAAGUAUCCCUUCUCUCACUCGCUUCGUUCCCUCACCUACCUUUACCUAACCUAACCCUCGUCCCCUUUCCCCUUCACGACAGCUCAUUGUACCCUAACCCAACCCCCAGCGCCUGUAAUAACGGACCGACGCGAAUGAUCGCUCUCCGCUCGGCAGUUGUUUCUUGAGUUGCAGCUCACGCACAAGCCAGGAUCUAUUGUCGCUGAAGUUUGGACCUGCGUCCUGACAUCGCAAAACAGUGGAGCGCGUCGUCUUAAAAGUGUUUGAAAUUCAAAACAAGAACAAGUACAAAGAAUCCGGUAUUUUGCAGCUGGUUACCAUUCCAUGCUAUGCUAUGCUGAACACACAGGAUCAAUGUAACAAACUCUUAUUUUCAAGUUCCUGUUUCUUAAACGUUUUUGCGGAUUUUUGUGGGAUCAAAGUUUGUUCGUUUGAGAAAUGUGAAUGGAUUUACGAUACACAAUGAAACGCACAGUGAUUACAUCUACAUUACAGGGUUUACAAAGCCUUUACCAACCUUGUCAUGGCUUUGUAUAUUAUCCACAGAGCAGAACUGAGAGUUCUCCUUAAAGCGAUCGACAUCUGUGCUCUUAAGACAGUGCAGUUAGCUCAGUGACAUCAGGUGUUAGAGUUGCUGCUACUGAUAUUACAGUUAGCGUUAUAUAGCAAAUGGUAAUAUUUUCCCAGAGCGCUUAGAACACUACAAAAUAUCCUCAUGGGACAGCUUGUAAGUGAGCGGACAUUUCAACUGGAUGUCUCCUGGCAACAAGUCUACUGUCGCACACAGAUGUGGAACAGAGCUUAUGCAGUCUGAUGUGAGAUGCCAAAAAUAAUGGAAACAGUGCAUACCACUUCAGUGAUUUUUAAUAUUCUAGCCUCAAAAUUCUUUUAACAACUUCAUCUUCAUCAUAAUCCAAUCUCGAACUUUGGCCAGGGGUUGGCCGAUUUUGGUUUCAACAUUAAUGCCAUCCAGCAGUCUUUUGACUGGGCACCCAGGUCUUCUUCUCUCUUUCGGAUGAUAUUUCAGCAACCUGU